UCGUGCGCCCGUGCCGCGCAGGCGCAAACAGAGGUUGCAGCAGCUAUCGCCAUGCUGUCGCUCUUCGGGCGUUCGUCGAACUCGCCUCGGUGGCUGUUGACAUCGUGGUCAGUGUAGUGUUCUGUGAUGCAUCAGGGCCUCAUCAGCUCAUCGACGACUAAAUCGCCCACUUCAAGGUACUUUGGCCAGAUAAACCUCAAAAGAGGUACCAGGUGUGCACCAUGCCAUACCGCAAAGAGCGGCAUUUAUCCGAAAGUUCUCAGGCUCAUCAAGGAAGGGAAAUGAACCCGUCCCAGCUGCACCAAACAGGUGCACGCACCAUUACAGAUUGCAAGCCGUUCUCUUUAAGCCACAUGGAAUGUUCCAUGAGGUGAGCGUGCAUUUGUAGUGGUCCUUGGGACAUGUGCUGUAGGCUUAUGUAUUACUGGCUUUGUCUUUGUGGUAUACGCCAGGCUGUAUUAAAUAUAUUGCAGGUCCCAGCAACAAAAAUUGCAAGCCGCUCUCUUCAAGCCGCGUGGAGUGUUCUAUGAAUUCCCAUCUACACCAAAUGGGUUGACCCACCUUCAGACC